AGCGCACGCUGGCGGCAGGCCUAAUACAUGCAAGUCGAGCGCACCUUCGGGUUAGCGGCGGACGGGUGAGUAACGCGUGGGAACGUGCCCUUUGGUACGGGAUAACUGAGGGAAACUUCAGCUAAUACCGUAUGUGCCCUACGGGGGAAAGAUUUAUCGCCAUUGGUGCGGCCCGCGUUGGCUUAGGUAGUUGGUGAGGUAAAGGCUCACCAAGCCUACGAUCCAUAGCUGGUCUGAGUGGAUGAUCAGCCAAACUGGGACUGAGACACGGCCCAGACUGCUACGGGAGGCAGCAGUAGGGAAGGUUGCGCAAUGGGCGAAAGCCUGACGCAGCCAGGGCGCGUGAAUGAUGCAGGGCUGAGGAGUGUAAAAUUCUUUCACCGGGGAAGAUAAUGACGGUACCCGGAGAAGAAGCCCCGGCUAACUUCGUGCCAGCCGCCGCCGUAAAAC
rnacentral:rRNA from 1 species